AACGAACGCUGGCGGCAGGCUUAACACAUGCAAGUCGAGCGCCCCGCAAGGGGAGCGGCAGACGGGUGAGUAACGCGUGGGAACGUACCUUUUGGUUCGGAACAACUCCGGGAAACUGGAGCUAAUACCGGAUAAGCCCUAAAGGGGAAAGAUUUAUCGCCGAAAGAACGGCCCGCGCCUGAUUAGCUAGUUGGUGAGGUAACGGCUCACCAAGGCGACGAUCAGUAGCUGGUCUGAGAGGAUGAUCAGCCACACUGGGACUGAGACACGGCCCAGACUCCUACGGGAGGCAGCAGUGGGGAAUAUUGGACAAUGGGCGCAAGCCUGAUCCAGCCAUGCCGCGUGAGUGAUGAAGGCCUUAGGGUUGUAAAGCUCUUUUGUCCGGGAAGAUAAUGACUGUACCGGAAGAAUAAGCCCCGGCUAACUUCGUG
rnacentral:rRNA from 1 species